UAGAACAAACAUAACUCGACCGAUUCUUUCAUUCACCGCGUUUAGUGCGCUUCGGACUACUUGGCGAACAGAUCUCCGCUUUAUAGUGCCGUGUUGUGCAAUUAUAACUUGUAAAACAAAAAAUCAGACCUCAAGUAUAGAGCGAGGAGGUAUAUCUUUCGAUCGCAAGUUAUAAAUAGCAUACAUUGCGCGAUGUGUACUCGCCCAAUGAACGCAAUGACCAAGUCAGCUUCCAAUGUACUACAUGCAUUGCGUUCUCUACACUUCAAUCUUUGAAAUUUCGGCCUUUGCCCUGAUUGGCCGUGCAGUUUGUCGAUAGUGAGGUGACCGUGUGGUAAAAUCAUCGACAGAAUUCUCGACUAUAUUUACAUUUGACAUGGAUAAUUUUUGCAUUAUUUUAUAUUUAAUUAAUGAUACCUAGUAUAUUCUUAGUGAGACGUAUUUUGAGUAAAAUAAAUAUGUAUUAUUAUUAUUGAAUUAUUAUCAUUGAAUUAAAGUGAAGGUAUAAUAUAAAGGGACAUGUAGACCUCUAAUUUACGGGUAUUUACUAUAUUGUCUAAGACGUAUUAAAAUCUAAGUAAAAUGCUAUUUGACUUAUGCAGUAAAUUAAAAAUUUUAGGUUUCCUAAAGAACCUAACGCCAGGGAACAAUGGAUUGACGUGACAGGUAGAGGAAACUGGAGACAAAGACGAGUACUAUUUGCUCUAAACAUUUUACUGAAAAUGAUUUUAUCAUAAAAAAAUCAGAAUACACUUAGUUUUGAAAAAUUCAUUCGCAAUUAAUAGCAAGCGCCAACUGCUUAACAAAUACGUUUUAUUCCAGCGACAGUGACUAUUUGUAAUUAAUAAAAGUAAAAUAGUUUUUUUUUUCAAUAUUUA